GCGCAUGGUUGGGCGGUGGUUUGGCUGGUCGGCUCCGAUUGGCCGGUGGGGUUUGGCGUGCGGGAGAAAUCCUUGCCGGUGCGUCCGGCUCCGAUGCGGUGACACCGGCGGGUGCCACUAUCCCUUCUUGGAGGGUGUCGGGAGUAGCUAUCCCCCACCUCCCUCCGCGUACUGGGGGAAACCCUAGGUCUUGUCCGGGCAGCAACGUCGUCGGCGUCGCAUCCCUUCUUGGAGGUGCUGCUUAGUUCGCGGUAGAUCGGAGCCUCGGGCUGUGGUGGUUUGUAUCCGGAAGGCGCAGCGGUUGUGGGUCUGCCACACUUUGUCGAGCUGCCAUUGUUAGCAUUUAUUUCUUUUUCUUUUUCUUUGGGUUUGAUGUGCUGCUCGCCCAGCAUUGCGAUGUGUAUAAUGAUGAUUUGCUUUGGAAUACAAAGCGGGGAAACUUUUUUUGGGUAAUAGAUAGAGGAGGCUUGAUCGAUUCUCUGGUCAUUACUGAACUCACGUAUAAGCAGGCUUCUCAAGCAGGCCUGUGGAUCAAUCCAUCUUGUUUUAUGAAUAAUGAAAGCUAGCUAAUUCUGUAGGUGGACAAGAUGGUAUAAUCUAUCAAAAAUUGUACGUCCAAUACGCACACAAAAAGAAAAUACACACGGCGGCAAAAGGUCAAGCGGUGUGCCGCAGUUGUGCCAGUGUCACGCUUGCUGCGCACAUCAACCGAACUUCCACGCUCCGCUACAGAUAUGUGCCGCACCGGCAGUCCGGCACCACCGGGCCGUACUGCACGCCGAGCGACCGUGCGACAUCGCCUUGCUACGACCAUCACCCACUUGCAUGCUCCCGUCGGCCGCCGUGCCGCAACCUCCAUCGCAUCAAGCAUUCAACGAAUCGGGUGUAGCAAAGGAGGAUACGCAACGGCCGGGUCAGGCAGGGGGCAUGUAGGGAGGAGCCCACGCGGUUGACGCCUCCUCGGACUAUUCUGCAUUUUCACGGCCACGAUCAACGGAAAAUGGGAAGCAAAUCUCAGUAUUUGUAUCCCACUGACUCUCAGACAGAAUGACCAUGGAUUAGGCGGCAACACAGACACGUGAUCACUUAAUGUGUCGGCAACAACAAUCAGGAAGGCAUGCACGCAUGGCAAAUCAAUAGAAAAAGGAAUCGCCUGCCUUGAGGCCCCCAUAGCGCUUCAGCCACGCGUGUACCUCCGCUGCUAGCUGCCGGCCGCGUGCCGCAUGUGAGCAGUAACUCCAAGAAACGGCUCGUGAGUGUGGGGCUCGGUUCCCUCUCCUCCAGUUCUCCACCACGCGCGGUCCAGUCACCUGCCGCUGCCCCGACUCCACCGGAGCCCCAACUGCUGCCGCCGUAUACAUCAGGUCAGAGUACCAGCAGGUCCUGCUCAGCCGCCGCCGGAAACACCGAGUCCUGGUGCCUCUGGCCAUGGAGCAAGGGAGUCUGGUAAAGGAGCUAUUUUACCAAGGCAAUUGGCCUCUGGGGCUCGGAGAGGGCAGGAUCCUCCUUCGAUCUGAGCAAACACAUUCCACCUUCGAGAUCGAGGUGAUUGUGUUGAUUCUGCUGCUUUUUCCAAGCCAUGGAGUCAUGCCCGAGGAAAGAGGUGGACAACUUGGAGAAGCUAGUUGAAGAAAUUUUCUGCCUGUUUACUGAGGCAUUUUUCGGUCCAUACAGUUAUAUGAUCAAUCGAUUGAUCCGUUGCAGGUGUCAAGUGGGUACUUACAUCUUUGUAUUUCGACUUGAGAUCAAUGAAAACCAACUACAUUUGAGCAGCCCAAAAGGUAGUAGAGGAGCAACAAUAGUAGUGUGUGUUUUGUCUAGGUGCUUGUUUCAUGCCAGAGUGUCAUAUACAGAUACUGAUUGCUAUUGCAUAUAUGUGCUUCACUUGGCACAUUUGCUCCCAUGUUUCCACUUAGACCCUCUGUUUUAAAAAAAACACUUGUAGGGAGCUUGAUAGUUGGAGGCUUGGAGUAUUGUUCUGAGAUCCAACUCCACAUGCACCUACAUUAUAUAAGUCUACAAUAAACGCACACUGGCCUGGCUUUAUUUUGACUCUUGCUCCCUGAAUAACAGAAUCUGUUAUCACA